CAAGUUUGGUCAAAGGUCAACCAAACUAAAAGUGAGGGCGUUCAUGUCUGCAGAGGUUAGAUGAGUUGAGCUAAAUGAACAAGGAUUCUCAAGUCUUGAUGAAGAUAAUAUUAUGGCAGCUAAGCGGGCGACUGUAUCUAAACAAAAUGGAGAAAUGGAGGUGAUCCAAGUAGGCGAGCAGACCAGGCUCGCAGAUAGAGGGGCUUUAGUAUUGCCCUAACAAUGAAGUGAGUAUUGUAGGAAUAUUUUUGUAUAACCCUAGCCAGUUGAGGGUGUUUUGGGAAAACUGAUAUAUAUGUGUAUUUUGAGGAUACAUUCUAGCACUCUGGUAUUGUAUAUAAUUAUAUAUGGAUAUGUUUAUUUGAUUUC